UCUUGGAAAUAAAAAGAAAAAUCUACCUGAGUACUACGAAUAAAAAGAUUUAAAACUCAAAGAGCUUGGCGGUGCUUUAGACUUUUCAGGGGAACCUGUCUUAUAAUCGACAAUCCACGUUAUACCUGACCCUAUCUUGCAUACAAUUUGUAUACCGUCGUCGUCAGGUAACUUUUAAAAAUUUUAAUAGUUAGCAAAAGAGUUAAUAAACUUAAACGUCAGAUCAAGGUGCAAUUAAUGAUAGGGGCAAGAUGGGUUACAAUUAUUAAAUUAGUAAUACGAAAAAUUAGUUGAAAUAUUAUUUUAAAGGAGGACUUGAAAGUAAAGAAUUAAUAUGUAUAUAUAUAAAUUGAAUAAAGCUCUGAAGCGUGC
rnacentral:rRNA from 1 species